UACGAAGGGGGCUAGCGUUGCUCGGAAUUACUGGGCGUAAAGCGCACGUAGGCGGUUUGUCACGUCGGGAGUGAAAACUCAGGGCUCAACCCUGAGCGUGCUUCCGAUACGGGCAGACUAGAGGUAUGCAGGGGAGAACGGAAUUCCUGGUGUAGCGGUGGAAUGCGCAGAUAUCAGGAGGAACACCGGUGGCGAAGGCGGGUCUCUGGGCAGUAACUGACGCUGAGGAGCGAAAGCGUGGGGAGCGAACAGG
rnacentral:rRNA from 1 species